rnacentral:rRNA from 1 species
GACGAACGCUGGCGGCGUGCUUAACACAUGCAAGUCGAACGGAAAGGCCCUGCUUUUGUGGGGUGCUCGAGUGGCGAACGGGUGAGUAACACGUGAGUAACCUGCCCUUGACUUUGGGAUAACUUCAGGAAACUGGGGCUAAUACCGGAUAGGAGCUCCUGCUGCAUGGUGGGGGUUGGAAAGUUUCGGCGGUUGGGGAUGGACUCGCGGCUUAUCAGCUUGUUGGUGGGGUAGUGGCUUACCAAGGCUUUGACGGGUAGCCGGCCUGAGAGGGUGACCGGCCACAAUGGGAAUGAGAUUACGGCCAGACUCCUACGGGAGGCAGCAGUGGGGAAUAUUGCACAAUGGGCGGAAGCCUGAUGCAGCAACGCCGCGUGCGGGAUGACGGCCUUCGGGUUGUAAACCGCUUUCGCCUGUGACGAAGCGUGAGUGACGGUAAUGGGUAAAGAAGCACCGGCUAACUACGUG